rnacentral:rRNA from 1 species
CCUACGGGAGGCUGCAGUGAGGAAUAUUCGUCAAUGGGCGCGCGCCUGUCCCAGCCAAGUAGCGUGAAGGAUGACUGCCCUACGGGUUGUAAACUUCUUUUAUAAAGGAAUAAAGUGAGGCACGUGUGCCUUUUUGUAUGUACUUUAUGAAUAAGGAUCGGCUAACUCCGUGCCAGCAGCAGCGGUAAUACGGAGGAUCCGAGCGUUAUCCGGAUUGAGUGGGUUUAAAGGGAGCGUAGAUGGGUUGUUAAGUCAGUUGUGAAAGUUUGCGGCUCAACCGUAAAAUUGCAAUUGAUACUGGCAGCCUUGAGUACAGUUGAGGUAGGCGGAAUUCGUGGUGUAGCGGUGAAAUGCUUAGAUAUCACGAAGAACUCCGAUUGCGAAGGCAGCUUACUAACCUGCCACUGACAUUGAUGCUCGAAAGUGUGGGUAUCAAACAGGAUUAGAUACCCCUGUAGUC